CACGUGGUACCUUCCAGAGGACUCCAAGAGCUUGACAACUGUUGGACAAAAGGCUCCAUCUAUACCCUGUCAGGUGUCUGGCUUGGCAAAGGAGUUGAGGAGAACCGGGGACUUCUGUUUAGGGCUACACCUCCGCCUCACUGUCACCCAGCUGGUUUCCCAGGAAGAGAAAUGCUGUCUAUGACCAACAGAACACCAUCCACAGUCAAGCACAGAGUUACAUUAUGCUUUAGGGCUAUUUUUCUGGUAAGGGUAAGGAUCUGGUGAGGAUGAUUUUAUCACAGUGAGAGGACAAUAGUUGGGGCCAUGUAUCAUGAAAUCUUGCAUAAGAAACUCCUUUCCUCAGCCAGAACACGGAAUGGAUUGUGAAUUGGUCUUCCAGCAUGAUAAUGAUCACUUACCAUCAAGGCAAUAAUGCAGUGGCUAAACAAGAAGCAUAUUAAGGAAUAGAGUGACCUAGAAAUUCUCCAGACCUUAAUCCUAUAGAAAAUCUUUGGUGGGAGCAAAAA